rnacentral:rRNA from 1 species
AACCUAAGAGCUAGCCUACUUAAUCUUAAAUUUAUAAUAGAAUUAAAAACUUUCAAUAUACAAAGUAAACCAUUUAUAAACCCCAGUA